AAAAAUAGCAAAUAAAUCCAAAGUAAUAAUAGAGAAUAAAUUCAAAGUAUUAAAAUUUUUAAAGGAAACAUGAAAGUAAAAACAUAAAGCUUGAUGUCGAUAUCUUGGUUAUUCUAGGCAAUCGAAAGUCUCCAUGAGAUCAUCCUUGUUGUGAUCGAAAUCAUCUUCAUUAUUAUAAUGGACCAAAUGAGCUUCCGGAUUCUUCCCUUUGAUACUCUCUUCAUAGAGGUUCAUAAAAUGCUUGGGAGUCCGACAUGUCUUAGCCCAAUGGCUCCCCAUCACACAUCGAUUCCAUACUGAUUUUCCGGCCGGGUUUUGCGGCUUAAAAGAUGUACCAUGGCCUCGGCCUCUACAACCGUGAUACCCGCAGCCUCGGCCUUGUCCUCGACCGUAGGAGUGACCACGGCCACGUCCUUGACAUUUUCCACGUCCACGGCUGGAUUAAUUAUUGUCUUUUUGGACGUGGGUAACUUCAUUAGUCUCUUUCUUUGCCAAUGUAACCGCGUUGGCUUCAGGGAGUGGGGCUGAUCCCGGAGGUCUCAAUUCAUUAUUUCUCAUUAAUAACUCAUUGUUUUGCUCGGCGAGU
rnacentral:lncRNA from 1 species